rnacentral:misc_RNA from 1 species
CACCGAGCGAAUAAAAAAAACCCUAAUUUCGAUUCCAAUCGGUAUAAAAAUCCACAAAUUCACUUGAUAAUUCACAAUAAUCUCUCUCGAUCAACAACGAAGCUCGCAAAGCCCUCGUCUCGCUCUUCCUAUCUUCCCUUCUUUAUCUUUGUUUUCUGUUUGGUUUUUAUCUUUCUAUCUAAUCCUCUUUUGUUUUACAGGAUUUGGUUUCUUGGUUUGUAUCUAUCUUUUUUGUUAUUUGUUUUUGUUUUUUGGUAUUGACAUAAUGGAUGCAGGAUCAGUAAACUCU